GUGGCUAAUACUCGAUGGUCUCGAUAAUUCGGUUUAUCGAGUAAAGGCUCUGGCGCUUUGAGAGGGACCUGCGGCCCAUCAGCUAGUUGGUAGGGUAACGGCCUACCAAGGCGAAGACGGGUAGGGGGCGUGAGAGCGUGACCCCCCACACUGGCACUGGGACACGGGCCAGACUCCUACGGGAGGCAGCAGUGAGGAAUAUUGCGCAAUGAGCGAAAGCUAGACGCAGCAACGCCGCGUGGGUGAUGAAGGCCUUCGGGUCGUAAAACCCUUUUCUGGGGGAAGAGUAAGGACGGUACCCCAGGAAUAAGCCUCGGCUAACUAUGUGCCAGCAGCCGCGGUAAUACAUAGGAGGCAAGCGUUAUCCGGAUUUACUGGGCGUAAAGAGCGUUGAGGCGGCUUCGUAAGUUGGACGUGAAAGCUCCCGGCUUAACUGGGAGAGGCCGUUCAAUACUGCGGGGCUUGAGGGCAGCAGAGGGGGGUGGAAUUUCCGGUGUAAUGGUGAAAUGCGUAGAUAUCGGAAGGAACACCAGUGGCGAAGGCGGCCCCCUGGGCUGCUCCUGACGCUGAAGGCGAAAGCUAGGGGAGCGAACGGGAUUAGAAACCCCGGUAGUCCUAGCCGUAAACGAUGGAUACUAGGUGUAGGAGGUUAAAAUUCCUUCUGUGCCGGAGCUAACGCGUUAAGUAUCCCGCCUGGGGAGUACGGUCGCAAGGCUAAAACUCAAAGGAAUUGACGGGGGCCCGCACAAGCAGCGGAGCGUGUGGUUUAAUUCGAUGCAACACGAAGAACCUUACCAGGGCUUGACAUGUAGGCAGUAGUGAAGCGAAAGCGGAACGAUCCUUCGGGAAGCCUACACAGGUGCUGCAUGGCUGUCGUCAGCUCGUGCCGUGAGGUGUUAGGUUAAGUCCUGUAACGAGCGCAACCCCUGCCGUUAGUUACAAGUGUCUAACGGGACUGCCCGGCAAAACUGGGAGGAAGGUGGGGAUGACGUCAAGUCAGCAUGGCCUUUAUGUCCUGGGCUACACACACGCUACAAUGGCCGGUACAAUGGGUUGCCAAGCCGCGAGGCGGAGCCAAUCCUCUAAAGCCGGUCUCAGUUCGGAUUGUAGGCUGCAACCCGCCUGCAUGAAGUUGGAGUUGCUAGUAACCGCAGGUCAG
rnacentral:rRNA from 1 species